rnacentral:lncRNA from 1 species
GUAGUUACAGAGCUAGUGAGUCCCUUCCUCCCGUCUCUCAUGCCCAGGAAAUGCUCCAGCGACCCCAGCUCAGUUUUCACUUAAGUCCUUCCUCAUGGCUGUUUAGCAGAGUGUAAUUUAGGCCAAUUACUUUGCUGAUGCCGCUUAUCCUCCCUCCUCGCCCUCCCCUAAAUUCCCACUGUACCCCCGCUCCUUCCCCAUUUACAUUUUUCAGAUGAAACAAUAGACAGAAUGUGAAAGUGAGCCUAGCUCAUUUGGCCUGGAGGCUACAACAGGUUGAUACUACCAGAGGAGCAAGGCCCACCUGACGGGACUAGGGGAAACACGUGGAUGCUGACAGGCCAAGAGGGAAGAUUGCAGCCAACUGGUGCCCCAUCUUAAAACUUUCUCCCAUCAAACUCAUUCUGGUGAAUCACUCAUGGAUUUAAGUUCUCCAGGGGAUUUGAUGCACAGGAAAGAUUAAGAACUCCUGUGAUGGGUGGAUUUGUGGCAGCACAAGAAGUCCAAAGCAACUUGUGGAGGCAUUUUCCAUGCAGAGAGAACAACACUGCACAGACUUUUGAGGCAAAAAAAGCUUGAAGCAAGUUGCCAUGGUUUGAGCUUCUAUAUUGGAGGAGUCCAUGCGCAAGGAGCUUAGGGUAGCCUUGGGUCAACAGUCAAAAAGAAAUUGAAGUCCUCAUUCCAGCAACCUACAAGGAACUGGAUGCUGCUGAUAGCCAGAUGUUCUUAAGUCAAGCCUCAGAUGAGACUACAGCCCUGGCCAACAUGCUGAUUGUAUCCUGUGAUACCCAGAAGCAAAUGACCUAGCUAAGCCAUGACUGGAUUCUGAUCCACAGAAACUAGGCUGAGAAGUUCUACAAACUGCCAUUUCCAGGUUUUUCUGGAGAACCAGGAAAAUCAGCAGUGUAACUCAAAGUCCUGAGAACCAGUGGAGCUGAUGGUACUCCAAAAUUUGAUGAAUCAACCUCAUCAGUCUUCUCGUAUUCCUAGGCCCAUUAUAAAGGUGACUAAACUGAGGCGGCAGCAACACUCUCCAUAUCACCAUCAGUACCACCACCAACACCACCACCAACACAAAUGCACAUGCACUUGAACUUAAUCAUCUUGCUCUUUAGAAAUAUGAGGACAACAGAGAAAAAACUUUUCCCUGAUAGACAGGUAACAAAGAUGCUUCGACAACAAAUACACCACAGAGAAGUAUUCUGCGCAAAAGGCAUUUCUGUUUCAGCCAAUGGCCUAUAUCAAU